UUUGAUCACGACUGCCUGAGGUUU
rnacentral:piRNA from 1 species